rnacentral:rRNA from 1 species
CAAUAGCGUAUAUUAAAGUUGUUGCAGUUAAAAAGCUCGUAGUUGGAUUUCUGGUGGGAGCGAUCGGUCUGGCGCUUAGCGCGAGUACUUGCAUCGUCUCCGGCCAUCCUUGGGGAGAGUCUGUCUGGCAUUAGGUUGUCGGACAGAGGAUCCUCAUCGUUUACUGUGAAAAAAUUAGAGUGUUCAAAGCAGGCUUAUGCCGUUGAAUAUAUUAGCAUGGAAUAAUAAGAUAGGACUUUGGUACUAUUUUGUUGGUUUGCGCACCAAAGUAAUGAUUAAUAGGGACAGUUGGGGGUAUUCGUAUUCCGUUGUCAGAGGUGAAAUUCUUGGAUUUACGGAAGACGAACUACUGCGAAAGCAUUUACCAAGGAUGUUUUCAUUAA